UUCGGAUGAAUUCAUUUGUGACUGAGCGGCGGACGGGUGAGUAACGCGUGGGUAACCUGCCUCAUACAGGGGGAUAACAGUUGGAAACGACUGCUAAUACCGCAUAAGCGCACAGCUUCGCAUGAAGCAGUGUGAAAAACUCCGGUGGUACAGGAUGGACCCGCGUCUGAUUAGAUAGUUGGUGAGGUAACGGCCCACCAAGUCAACGAUCGGUAGCCGGACUGAGAGGUUGAACGGCCACAUUGGGACUGAGACACGGCCCAGACUCC
rnacentral:rRNA from 1 species